AGUGAACGCUGGCGGUAUGCCUAACACAUGCAAGUCGAACGGCAGCACAGUAAGAUCUUUCUCUUACGAGUGGCGACUAACGGACGGGUGAGGAAUACAUCAUAAGCUACUUUUUCUUGGGUGAGAACUUAGGGCAACGUACACUAAUACCUCAGACGACCUACGGCUGAAACCAGGCGAUCUUCGAACCUUGCUCGAUUGAGUGAGCCCAUGUCGGAUUAGAUAGUUUGCGGGAUAAAGGCCCAACGAGGCGACUAUCCGUAGCUGAUCUGAGAGGAUGAUAAGCGACAUGGGAAGUGAGACGCGGUCAAGACUCCUAAGGGAGGGAGCAGUGGGGAAUAUUGGACAAUAGGCGCAAGCCUGAUACAGCCAUACCGCGUGGGUGACGAAGGCGUUCGGGUUGUAAAGACCUUUUGUUGGGAAAGAAAAGCAGUAGGUUAAUAACAAGCUGUUGUGACGGUACCUACAGAAUAAGCACCGGCUAACUUCGUG
rnacentral:rRNA from 1 species